AUGCUUCAGCAGCACAUAUACUAAAAUUGGAAUGAUACAAAGUAGAUUAUCAUGGCCCCUGUGCAAGGAUGACUUGCUGAUGCAAUUAUACCAUGCUGAGGUUG